UGCGCAGGUGGUUUUGUAAGUCAGAUGUGAAAGCCCCGGGCUCAACCUGGGAACUGCGUUUGAAACUACAAGACUAGAGUGUGGCAGAGGGGGGUGGAAUUCCGCGUGUAGCAGUGAAAUGCGUAGAGAUGUGGAGGAACACCGAUGGCGAAGGCAGCCCCCUGGGUCAACACUGACGCUCAGGCACGAAAGCAUGGGGAGCAAACAGGAUUAGAUACCCUGGUAGUCC
rnacentral:rRNA from 1 species